rnacentral:misc_RNA from 1 species
UGUAUCAAACCAAUCAACUUGUUUGAUUGGUCUUGGAUGUUGAGGGUUGCUGGAUUUUUAUGAUCAGCUCCUUUUAAAUAUAUUAGCUUGGAAUGUAUGAAGCCAUUUUAACUUAGGCUAAUAUGAAUAUCUAUUAAAUGCUUUUGUUAAUAUGCUUUGUCUGAGCUUAUAACUGUCCUUAUGGACUGCCAUAGGCAUUUUACAACUUGAU